ACUCACAGUGGGAACCAGAGUGUCUGUAAGAUGAAUUCCAGGUCCAUAGCAACUGCAAUGCUCUGGGAUCUAAACAGAUCUUUAGGCAGGCCAUGCAAGGAGCCCUUCUGGGUAGAAGACAGCAAGAGGCAGACGGUCUGCCUCUCUCCUGCACACAGACCGACCAUGCAAAUAGGUUCUUGGGUUUUGUUUUUGUUUGGCUUUUAGCUCAGAAUCGCCAUCGCUCCCAGUGGAGACAAAAAGGCUUGGGGAGCUUCCGCUCCGCGUUGGCUGUCCAAGAAAUUUUCUUCACCCGACUCCCACCUCCUCCCGGCCAGGCAUUGAGAAGAAGGAGAGGUGAUAAGAAAAUAGCCUUGAUCUACAGUUUAGUAGGAAGACAAUAGAUUUGGAGAACCAACAGAUGAAAGAUCAAAUCUUCACUCCAUAUAAAUUCAGUACUACCUACUCAAUAGGAAUCACUCUGGUGAGUUUGGGGAACCAUAUGAGGUGCCG